rnacentral:rRNA from 1 species
AUGUCCACCAAGGCCGUUGCGUUGGUCGCGGUACUCGGCUUCCUUUGGGUUUGCUUGCUGUCGAGGAAGAAGAAAGGUGUGAACUAUGUGAAAAUGGACAAACCCACUGUCCCAGAUGGGACAACCAAGAUCAUGAAUCUGGACUCCGGCUUCCGUGGUAUUUCUGUGUGCCUCGACUUUGGCUCCAUGCUUAUUCAUUAA